GUGAACUUGGGCAAGUGACCUAAUCCUCUGCAUUUCAUCUCUAAAUUGGGGAGAAUAGAAGCAUCUACUUCAUGUAGUAGCCAGGAUUAGAAGAGAUGGGGCCACUUGAGGGAAAAGACCUACCCAAGGGCACAUAAUCUGUACAUGAGAGAGAGCCAGAUGUAACAGACUGAGUACUGGACUUGGGGUUAAACAGACUGUGAAUCUUUCCACCCCAUUGGCAAGUUACCUUGGACAAGUUACUUUAAUCUCCCUGAGCCUCAAUCUGCUCAUCUUUAAGAUGGAAGUCUUAAUAAUCUCCUCAUAGGGGAUUAAACAAGAACAUGAGCACACCUUUUCUAACACAGUGUCUGAGAUGAGUAGAUGUUCAAAAUAGGGGUUCAUUUGCUUCUUUGCUCUUUGGCUCCCACCUUUUUUUCAACUGCCCCAAAUCUCUUUCUGCUCACCUUUUCUUGUUCCAUGGGGUCUUUACACCACCGUGUUAGCAUGUGUUUCUGCUACAUGGUUACUUCUUUUCUAGAAGCAAGUGAGUGAGGGAGGGCCCAGUGGGCAGCUCAGAACUCAGUAAUAAAACCACACAGAAUCCAUCUCAAA
rnacentral:lncRNA from 1 species